rnacentral:rRNA from 1 species
AUGCACGCUGGCGGCGUGCCUCAUCCCUGCAAGUCGAGCGCACGGACGAGAAGCUUGCUUCUCUGAUGUUAGCGGCGGACGGGUGAGUAACACGUGGAUAACCUACCUAUAAGACUGGGAUAACUUCGGGAAACCGGAGCUAAUACCGGAUAAUAUUUUGAACCGCAUGGUUCAAAAGUGAAAGACGGUCUUGCUGUCACUUAUAGAUGGAUCCGCGCUGCAUUAGCUAGUUGGUAAGGUAACGGCUUACCAAGGCAACGAUGCAUAGCCGACCUGAGAGGGUGAUCGGCCACACUGGAACUGAGACACGGUCCAGACUCCUACGGGAGGCAGCAGUAGGGAAUCUUCCGCAAUGGGCGAAAGCCUGACGGAGCAACGCCGCGUGAGUGAUGAAGGUCUUCGGAUCGUAAAACUCUGUUAUUAGGGAAGAACAUAUGUGUAAGUAACUGUGCACAUCUUGACGGUACCUAAUCAGAAAGCCACGGCUAACUACGUG